AGAGUUUGAUCCUGGCUCAGAGUGAACGCUGGCGGCGUGGAUUAGGCAUGCAAGUCGAGCGAACCCGCAAGGGUUAGCGGCAAACGGGUGAGUAACACGUAAGUAAUCUUCCUUAAAGUCAAGCAUAGCAUCGUGAAAACGAUGGUAAUUCUUGAUAUGGCCAUGAUCCGGCAUCGGAAUAUGGUUAAAGACUGGGACCGCAAGGCCAGUCGCUUUAAGAUGAGCUUGCGUCCUAUCAGCUAGUUGGUGGGGUAACGGCCUACCAAGGCUUAUGACGGGUAGCUGGUCUGAGAGGAUGGUCAGCCACACUGGGACUGAGACACUGCCCAGACUCCUACGGGAGGCUGCAGUCGAGAAUCUUUAGCAAUGGACGAAAGUCUGACUAUGCGACGCCGCGUGCGGGAUGAAGGCCUUCGGGUUGUAAACCGCUUUUGUUAGGAAAGAAAAUCCUUUCGUUAAUAGCGAAAGGACUGACGGUACCUAACGAAUAG
rnacentral:rRNA from 1 species